UAGAGUUGGAAGUGGGUGGUGACAUGGGGUGAGGUUUAAGGUAGAUGGGGACAGGAAGAAUGGGCACUGAGUAGUAUUGCGACAAAAUGGUGAGAUCAAGAAUGGGAAUGGUAGCUGAGAAAAGGAUAUAGUAAUAGGGAACAAGGGACAUGGAAUGGAAAUGAGGAACAGAGACAUGGAACUAAUAUAAAAUAAAUCAUUUAGUAGGAAGGAGAGAAGGUGUGGCUUUAAUAAAAUUGAGAUGUAGCUUUAAUAAAUUCCUAUAAAUAAAUAAAUAUAUGUAUGUAU
rnacentral:lncRNA from 1 species